ensembl:lncRNA
GCUCCCCUACACCGGAGGACGGGGGCCUGACGGGCCACACGUGCCCUGAAGGUCACUACUGCCCCCGGGGCUCCGGGGCCCCUCUGCCCUGUCCACAGGGACACUACAGCGCCGCCGCCGGGAACACCGGGCUCUCCGACUGCCUGCCCUGCCCCGCCGGCUUCCUGUGCGCCAGCAGAGGCCUCUCUUCUCCUUCCGAUGGCUGCCCGGCAGGAGCCUACUGUCCCCGGCCCGGGAACGCAAGCCUGCAGCUCGGGCAAAUCAGCUGCUCUCCGGGGUACAGGUGUCCACCGGGCGGCGCGAGCCCCACGCCCUGCCUGCCCGGGACCUACCAGAGCCUGCCAGGGCAGGCCGAGUGUAGUGAGUGUCCAGCCGGUUCCUACUGUCCCGGGUCGGUGGAUGAGGUGACAGGAGACAUGUCGGGAACACACACACCUCUGCCGUGUCCCAAAGGACACUACUGCCCACCAGGAGCGCCGUCUGGUGUGGCCUUCCCGUGUCCAGCUGGCAGCUUCAACGUGAGGACGGGGGUGUCCAGCAGGGGGGGCUGUGAGCCUUGCCCCCCAGGGAAGUACUGCAGUGCCGCCGGGCUGGCUGCCCCCACCGGGCUCUGCUCCCCCGGUUACCUCUGUAUCCAGGCGUCGGUGACUCCACAACCGGGCGGCGGCC